AGAAAAUGAGCUGGUUGGUUAGGAUGAUAUAUACGAUAAGUUAUAAUCUCUCUCAACACGAAAAAACUGAGAUUGUCCCUAAUUUUGAGAUGAAAAUAGACUUAUUACUGGAAGAAAAAUACUAUCAGAUUUGGAGAAGAGGAAGCUCUUUUUGGAAAAAGAGGAGUAGAUGAUUCGAUUUUCAAAAAUAUGAUUCUUCAAUUUAGUACAAUUUUCUGUCACUUAGGAGAUGUUAUGAAUAAAAAUGGUGAUGAGGGUUUGUCGCAUUACAUGAACUUGGAAUCACGAGCGAAUCCUAUCAUUACUCUGAGAUGGAGUAACGACCACGCAAUAUGAGUGGCUGAAACGGAUGUCGGUGGCUUGAGCCAACAUAAUCAGCUCGGAGAUGUCAGAAGCCUGAAUUCUCUCAGCUCCAAUGCAUUUCACCAAUGAUCUGGAAACUGGGUGUGCAACAUAUGCUGAUUGACCCAAGACGAUUCUUCACUGCCAUGAAUCGAGAGAGAUAUUUCUGGGUAAAUAUCCUUGGUCGCUGCGGAAAAAUCAAGGAACUUACUCUCUCAAGCUUCAAGAUUUCUUGAGAAGAAUGUCUACAGGCACACCAAGUUUGAUGUGAGGUCACCUUCUCCACUACCAAACAGAAUUCAUUCAUGAAUCUCGUUACGUCAGUCAUCGUGUGGAGAGUCAGUUCAAAUAUGUGACUCCAUCAAUAUCAGCACCAGUUGAUCAUACAGCAUCUUCACAAGCAGUUCAACUCAUCUGGGGGAUACCAACUUCAGGCAGAAUAGAAAUACGGCGAGUCUGGAAUACAGGUUGGAUAAGAGAGUAAAUGUAUGGCUAUAAAAUGCCAUACACUUAAACUUGGCCAUUCCAUAAACUUGAUGGCUUGUUACCAAAAUAGGAUGAUCGAACAUUUGGAUUCUACAAACUCGCAGAAAAUAUCGUCGGCUAAAAGAGUUUUGACUAUCUAUAUUCUUGAGAACAUAUAUCAUUAAAGCCCUGCAAACUAGAAAAAAACGAAUAGUGUAUCUUUUUAUGAAAUUCAUGGUCAAACUUUCAUAUACUAUUACUGAAAAAACUUUACUAAACAAGAUUGUUAUCAGAAUAAUUCAAAUUUUGUUCAAAAUUAGAUUUUGUUAUCAUUAGGCCUACUUACUUAUAACCUAUUUCAAUUUUCUGAAAAUUGGAAAGAUUCACAUAAAAAUAUUUUCUGUAAUCAUUGUAUUUCAAUAUAUUUUGUAAACUUGCAAAUUCAGCUGUUGGGAUUUCCUGUAAAGCUGUGUAAAAUACUCUUA